UCCGAGUUGUCCCCGGCAGUCCUUUUAGAGUCCCCGGCAUUACCCGCUGGCAACUAAAAGCAGGGGUUGCGCUCGUUGCGGCACUUAAGCCAACACCUCACGGCACGAGCUGACGACAGCCAUGCAGCACCUGUGCUAGCCCCUUACGGACACGGGCUUUCACCCGCUUUAACUAGCAUGUCAAGCCUAGGUAAGGUGGGGAUGACGUUCCUGUACCAUAGA
rnacentral:misc_RNA from 1 species